rnacentral:rRNA from 1 species
UACGUAGGGGGCAAGCGUUGUCCGGAAUCAUUGGGCGUAAAGAGUGCGUAGGCGGUCCGGUAAGUCCGCUGUGAAAGUCAAGGGCUCAACCCUUGAAUGCCGGUGGAUACUGUCGGGCUAGAGUCUGGAAGAGGCGAGUGGAAUUCAUGGUGUAGCGGUGAAAUGCGCAGAUAUCAGGAGGAACACCGAUGGCGAAGGCAGCUCACUGGCCAGGUGCUGACGCUGAGGUGCGAAAGCGAGGGGAGCAAACAGG